rnacentral:rRNA from 1 species
CCCUUAGAUGUUCUGGGCUGCACGCGCGCUACACUGAAGCUAUCAACACGUUUUCCCUCCCUGAGAAGGGCGGGUAACCUUUUGAAUCAGCUUCGUGGUAGGGAUCGGGGCUUGCAAUUGUUCCCCGUGAACCAGGAAUUCCUAGUAGACGCGAGUCAUAAGCUCGCAUCGAUUAAGUCCCUGCCCUUUGUACACACCGCCCGUCGCUACUACCGAUUGAACGUUUUAGUGAGGCAUUUGGACCGACGCAUCUCAGUUUAACCGCUGGUUUGUGUUGGAAAGACUUCCAAACGUGAGCGUUUAGCGGAAGUAAAAGUCGUAACA